rnacentral:lncRNA from 1 species
AAACGUAUUCCCGUAUUUUACUGGUGGGCGACCUAGAACUGAAAUGUAUUCCCACAUUUUACUGGUGGGCGACCUAGAACUGAAAUGUAUUCCCGCAUUAUACUGGUGGGUGACCUAGAACUGAAAUGUAUUCCCGCAUUUUACAGGUGGGCGACCUAGAACUGAAAAGUAUUCCCGCAUUUUACUGGUGGGCGACCUAGAGCUGAAAUGUAUUCCCGCAUUUUACUGGUGGGCGAUCUAGAGCUGAAAUGUAUUCCCGCAUUUUACUGGUGGGCGACCUAGAGCUGAAACGUAUUCCCGCAUUUUACUGGUGGGCGACCUAGAACUGAAACGUAUUCCCGCAUUUUACUGGUGGGCGACCUAGAACUGAAAUGUAUUCCCGCAUUAUACUGGUGGGCGACCUAGAACUGAAAUGUAUUCCCGCAUUUUACUAGUGGGCGACCUAGAACUGAAAUGUAUUCCCGCAUUUUACUGGUGGGCGACCUAGAACUGAAAUGUAUUCCCGCAUUUUACUGGUGGGCGACCUAGAACUGAAAUGUAUUCCCGCAUUUUACUGGUGGGCGACCUAGAACUGAAA